rnacentral:rRNA from 1 species
GUACUUGAGGAAUAAGCCACGGCUAAUUCCGUGCCAGCAGCCGCGGUAAUACGGGAGUGGCAAGCGUUAUCCGGAAUUAUUGGGCGUAAAGCGUCCGCAGGCGGCUUUUCAAGUCUGCUGUUAAAGCGUGGAGCUUAACUCCAUCAUGGCAGUGGAAACUGAAAGGCUUGAGUAUGGUAGGGGCAGAGGGAAUUCCCGGUGUAGCGGUGAAAUGCGUAGAUAUCGGGAAGAACACCAGUGGCGAAGGCGCUCUGCUGGGCCAUUACUGACGCUCAUGGACGAAAGCCAGGGGAGCGAAAGGGAUUAGAUACCCCUGUAGUCCUGGCCGUAAACGAUGAACACUAGGUGUCGGGGGAAUCGACCCCUUCGGUGUCGUAGCUAACGCGUUAAGUGUUCCGCCUGGGGAGUACGCACGCAAGUGUGAAACUCAAAGGAAUUGACGGGGGCCCGCACAAGCGGUGGAGUAUGUGGUUUAAUUCGAUGCAACGCGAAGAACCUUACCAGGGUUUGACAUCCUGCGAACCUCUUAGAAAUUUGAGGGUGCCUUCGGGAAUGCAGUGACAGGUGGUGCAUGGCUGUCGUCAGCUCGUGUCGUGAGAUGUUGGGUUAAGUCCCGCAACGAGCGCAACCCACGUUUUUAGUUGCCAGCAUUUAGUUGGGCACUCUAGAAAGACCGCCGGUGAUAAACCGGAGGAAGGUGUGGAUGACGUCAAGUCAUCAUGCCCCUUACACCCUGGGCUACACACGUACUACAAUGCUACGGACAAAGGGCAGCAAACUCGCGAGAGCUAGCAAAUCCCAUAAACCGUGGCUCAGUUCAGAUCGUAGGCUGCAACUCGCCUACGUGAAGUAGGAAUCGCUAGUAAUCGCAGGU